CCUACGGGAGGCAGCAGUGGGGAAUAUUGCACAAUGGGCGCAAGCCUGAUGCAGCGACGCCGCGUGGGGGAUGACGGCCUUCGGGUUGUAAACUCCUUUCGCUAGGGACGAAGCUUUUUGUGACGGUACCUAGAUAAGAAGCACCGGCUAACUACGUGCCAGCAGCCGCGGUAAUACGUAGGGUGCGAGCGUUGUCCGGAAUUACUGGGCGUAAAGGGCUCGUAGGUGGUUUGUCGCGUCGUCUGUGAAAUUCCGGGGCUUAACUCCGGGCGUGCAGGCGAUACGGGCAUAACUUGAGUACUGUAGGGGUAACUGGAAUUCCUGGUGUAGCGGUGAAAUGCGCAGAUAUCAGGAGGAACACCGAUGGCGAAGGCAGGUUACUGGGCAGUUACUGACGCUGAGGAGCGAAAGCAUGGGUAGCGAACAGGAUUAGAUACCCUGGUAGUCCAUGCCGUAAACGGUGGGCGCUAGGUGUGAGGGUCUUUUCACGACUUUCGUGCCGUAGCUAACGCAUUAAGCGCCCCGCCUGGGGAGUCGGCCGCAAGGCUAAAACUUAAAUGAAUUGAACGGCUGAGAGUGCGAGACGACGACGAGGAGGAGG
rnacentral:rRNA from 1 species